rnacentral:rRNA from 1 species
UACAGAGGUCUCAAGCGUUGUUCGGAUUCAUCGGGCGUAAAGGGUGUGUAGGUGGCGCCGUAAGUCGGGUGUGAAAUUUCGGAGCUUAACUCCGAAACUGCAUUCGAUACUACCGUGCUUGAGGACUGGAGAGGAGACUGGAAUUUACGGUGUAGCGGUGAAAUGCGUAGAUAUCGUAAGGAAGACCAGUGGCGAAGGCGGGUCUCUGGACAGGUCCUGACGCUGAGGCACGAAGGUCAGGGGAGCAAACGGG